rnacentral:rRNA from 1 species
AUUAAAACAGUUAUAGUUUAUUUGAUAUUUUUUAAAUGGAUAACUUUAGGAAAUCUAGAGCUAAUACAUGCAUUAAAGCCCGACUCACGGACGGCCGUAUUUAUUAGAUAUAUUAAUCUUGGUGCUUAGCACAUAGAUGAUUCAUAAUAACUUCACAGACCUUUGCUUCGCAAAGGUAAAUCAUUCAAGUUUCUGCCCUAUCAGCUUUAGAUGGUAGUGUAUUGGACUACCAUGGCGAUCACGGGUAACGGAGAAUUAGGGUUCGAUUCCGGAGAGGGAGCCUGAGAAACGGCUACCACUUCCAUGGAAGGCAGCAGGCGCGUAAAUUACCCAAUCCUGACUCAGGGAGGUAGUGACAAGAAAUAGCGACGUAUGCAUUUUAUGUUAUACGAUUGCAAUGAGAACAAUUUAAUUCACUUAUCGAGGAACAAUUGGAGGGCAAGUCUGGUGCCAGCAGCCGCGGUAAUUCCAGCUCCAAUAGCGUAUAUUAAAGUUGUUGCAGUUAAAAAGCUCGUAGUUGAACUUCUGUCUCAGCUAAUUAUCCUUACGAUAACUCAGCUGUAGACAUCCCCCUUGAGAUUUAUCCACGUCCUUAGCUGGUCGGGAUAGAAAACAGGGAUUUUACUUUGAAAAAAUUAGAGUGUUUCAAGCAGGCGAUUUGCUGGAAUACAUUAGCAUGGAAUAAUAGAAGAUGACUUCACGAUAUUUUAUUGGUAAUGUCGUAGGUAAUGAUUAACAGGGACAGUUGGGGGCAUUAGUAUUUAAUUGUCAGAGGUGAAAUUCAUUGAUUAAUUAAAGACUAACUUAUGCGAAAGCAUUUGCCAAGGAUGUUUUCAUUAAUCAAGAACGAAAGUUAGGGGAUCAAAGACGAUCAGAUACCGUCCUAGUCUUAACCGUAAACUAUACCGACUAGGGAUUGGUGAGGAGACAAAGCCUCAUCAGCACCUUAUGAGAAAUCAAAGUCUUUGGGUUCUGGGGGGAGUAUGGUCGCAAGGCUGAAACUUAAAGGAAUUGACGGAAGGGCACCACCAGGAGUGGAGCCUGCGGCUUAAUUUGAUUCAACACGGGGAAACUUACCAGGUCCAGACGUAGUUAGGAUUGACAGAUUGAGAGCUCUUUCUUGAUUCUACGGGUGGUGGUGCAUGGCCGUUCUUAGUUGGUGGAGUGAUUUGUCUGGUUAAUUCCGUUAACGAACGAGACCUUAACCUGCUAAAUAGUCGCAUCCUAUAUAUAGGUUGUAGAUCUUCUUAGAGGGACUUUGCGGACAGAAACGUAAGGAAGUUUGAGGCAAUAACAGGUCAGUGAUGCCCUUAGACGUCCUGGGCCGCACGCGUGCUACACUGACGAUCGCAGCAAGACUCCUGAUCCGGAAGGCAUUGGGAAAUCUUUAUAAUGAUCGUCGUGCUAGGGAUUGAUCUUUGUAAUUAUGGAUCAUGAACGAGGAAUUCCUUGUAAGCAUAUGUCAUCAGCGUGUGCUGAAUACGUCCCUGCCCUUUGUACACACCGCCCGUCGCUACUACCGAUCGAGUGGUCCGGUGAACCUUUUGGACAGCGCAAUUUAUUGUGCAGGAAUUUAAGUAAAUCUUAUCACUUAGAGGAAGUAAAAGUCGUAACAAGGUUUCC